rnacentral:misc_RNA from 1 species
UUUCCGUAGGUGAACCUGCGGAAGGAUCAUUAAUAAAUGGCGACGCUUUCGAGCUUAGCUUUUAUCAUCCUUUAACACCUGUGAACUAUUUGCCUUCGGGCACACUACAAACAUAAUGUAAUGAAUGUAAACUACUAUAAUAAAUACAACUUUCAACAACGGAUCUCUUGGCUCUC